GAUGAACGCUGGCGGCGUGGAUAAGGCAUGCAAGUCGAGCGCCUCGCAAGAGGAGCGGCAGACGAGGUAGUAACACGUAGGUACGCACCCCAAAGUCAGGAAUAACUAGCCGAAAGGUUAGCUAAUACUUGAUAGUCUCUUCGGAGUAAAGAUUUAUCGCUUUGGGAGCGGCCUGCGGGAUAUCAGCUAGUUGGUAGGGUAACGGCCUACCAAGGCUAUGACGUCUAGGGGACCUGAGAGGGUGACCCCCACCGAUGGAACUGAGAUACGGUCCAUACACCUACGGGUGGCUGCAGUCGAGAAUCUUCCACAAUGGACGAAAGUCUGAUGGAGCGACGCCGCGUGGUUGAUGAAGUCCUUCGGGAUGUAAAAACCUUUUGUAGACUAGAAAGUUAUUGAUCAGUCUAAGAAUAAGGGGUUGCUAAACUCGUGCCAGCAGCAGCGGUAAUACGAGUGCCCCGAGCGUUAUCCGGAAUUAUUGGGCGUAAAGGGUGUGUAGGUGGUUGUGUUAGUCUUCUGUUAAAUUCUUCGGCUUAACCGGGGUCCAGCAGAGGAAACGGCACAACUAGAGGAUGCGAGAGGUGAAUGGAACUCAUGGAGUAGGGGUGAAAUCCGUUGAUAUCAUGGGGAACACCAAAUGCGAAGGCAAUUCACUGGCGCACUCCUGACACUGAAACACGAAAGCGUAGGUAGCGAAUGGGAUUAGAUACCCCAGUAGUCUACGCCCUAAACGAUCCAGACUGGGUUUUCGGAGUAUCGACCCUCUGAGAGCCGAAGCUAACGCGUUAAGUCUGGCGCCUGGGUAGUACGGCCGCAAGGCUAAAACUCAAAGGAAUAGACGGGGACUUGCACAAGCAGUGGAUUAUGUGGUUUAAUUCGACGGUAAACGAAGAACCUCACCAGGGUUUGAAACCUAGUUGAAUGUUGCGGAAACGUAACAGUCUCACAAGGACAACUAGGCAGGUGUUGCAUGGUCGUCGUCAGUUCGUGGCUUGAGUUGUUCCCUUCAGUGGGGAAACGAACGCAACCCUCGUUGCCUGUUACAAGUGUCAGGCGAGACUGCCCCCGCACCAGUUUGAAAACGAAAGUUUUUUAAUUGAUGCGGGGGAGGAAGGCGAGGAUGACGCCAGAUCAGCAUGACCCUCUGAUAUCCUGGGCUACACACAUAAUACAAUCGCCAUUACAACACGACGCAAUGAGGUAACUCGGAGCAAAUCGUUAGAAAAGUGGCGCCAGUUCGGAUUGGGGUCUGCAACUCGGCCCCAUGAAGCCGGAAUUGCUAGUAAUCGCGGGUCAGCUAUACCGCGGUGAAUACGUUCUCAAGUCUUGUACUCACCGCCCGUCAACUCAAGGGAGCUGGUAGUACCCGAAGCCCAUCUUCGCGAUGGUCUACGGUAAGACCAGUGACAGGGAGU
rnacentral:rRNA from 1 species